rnacentral:rRNA from 1 species
AUUGAACGCUGGCGGCAUGCUUUACACAUGCAAGUCGAACGGCAGCACGGGGGCAACCCUGGUGGCGAGUGGCGAACGGGUGAGUAAUAUAUCGGAACAUGUCCGGAAGUGGGGGAUAACGUACCGAAAGGUACGCUAAUACCGCAUAUGCCCUGAGGGGGAAAGCGGGGGAUCGCAAGACCUCGCGCUUUCGGAGUGGCCGAUAUCGGAUUAGCUAGUAGGUGAGGUAAAGGCUCACCUAGGCGACGACCCGGAGCUGGUCUGAGAGGACGACCAGCCACACUGGGACUGCGACACUGCCCAGACUCCUGCGGGAGGCAGCAGUGGGGGAUUUUGGACAAUGGGCGCAAGCCUGAUCCAGCCAUGCCGCGUGAGUGAAGAAGGCCUUCGGGUUGUAAAGCUCUUUCGGACAGAAAGAAAUCGCACAGGUUAAUACCUUGUGUGGAUGACGGUACUGUAAGAAGAAGCACCGGCUAACUACGUGCCAGCAGCCGCGGUAACAC